rnacentral:rRNA from 1 species
GUGAGGAAUUUUCCGCAAUGGGCGCAAGCCUGACGGAGCGACGCCGCGUGAGGGAAGAAGGUCUUCGGAUUGUAAACCUCUUUUGGAAGGGAAAAAGGUUCAUGGGGUAAUACUCCAUGAGUUUGAUGGUACUUUUCGAAUAAGCCCCGGCUAACUACGUGCCAGCAGCCGCGGUAAUACGUAGGGGGCGAGCGUUGUCCGGAAUUACUGGGCGUAAAGGGCGUGUAGGCGGUUGAAAAAGUCUGGUGUGAAAUGCUUUGGCUCAACCAAGGCGCUGCGCUGGAUACUAUUUGACUGGAGUUCGGUAGGGGCAGCUGGAAUUCCUGGUGUAACGGUGAAAUGUGUAGAUAUCAGGAGGAACACCCGUGGCGAAGGCGGGCUGCUGGACCGCAACUGACGCUGAUACGCGAAAGCGUGGGUAGCAAACAGGAUUAGAUACCCUUGUAGUCC